UGAGGAAUAUUGGUCAAUGGACGUAAGUCUGAACCAGCCAAGUAGCGUGCAGGAUGACGGCCCUAUGGGUUGUAAACUGCUUUUGUAUGGGGAUAAAGUCAAUCACGUGUGAUUGUUUGCAGGUACCAUACGAAUAAGGACCGGCUAAUUCCGUGCCAGCAGCCGCGGUAAUACGGAAGGUUCGGGCGUUAUCCGGAUUUAUUGGGUUUAAAGGGAGCGUAGGCCGGAGAUUAAGUGUGUUGUGAAAUGUAGACGCUCAACGUCUGACUUGCAGCGCAUACUGGUUUCCUUGAGUACGCACAACGUUGGCGGAAUUCGUCGUGUAGCGGUGAAAUGCUUAGAUAUGACGAAGAACUCCGAUUGCGAAGGCAGCUGACGGGAGCGCAACUGACGCUGAAGCUCGAAGGUGCGGGUAUCGAACAGGAUUAAAUACCCUGGUAGUCCGCACAGUAAACGAUGGAUGCCCGCUGUUGGUACCUAGUAUCAGCGGCUAAGCGAAAGCAUUAAGCAUCCCACCUGGGGAGUACGCCGGCAACGGUG
rnacentral:rRNA from 1 species